rnacentral:rRNA from 1 species
GAUGAACGCUGGCGGCGUGCCUAAUACAUGCAAGUCGAGCGAACGGACGAGAAGCUUGCUUCUCUGAUGUUAGCGGCGGACGGGUGAGUAACACGUGGAUAACCUACCUAUAAGACUGAGAUAACUUCGGGAAACCGGAGCUAAUACCGGAUGAUAUUUUGAACCGCAUGGUUCAAAAGUGAAAGACGGUCUUGCUGUCACUUAUAGAUGGAUCCGCGCUGCAUUAGCUAGUUGGUAAGGUAACGGCUUACCAAGGCAACGAUGCAUAGCCGACCUGAGAGGGUGAUCGGCCACACUGGAACUGAGACACGGUCCAGACUCCUACGGGAGGCAGCAGUAGGGAAUCUUCCGCAAUGGGCGAAAGCCUGACGGAGCAACGCCGCGUGAGUGAUGAAGGUCUUCGGAUCGUAAAACUCUGUUAUUAGGGAAGAACAUAUGUGUAAGUAACUGUGCACAUCUUGACGGUACCUAAUCAGAAAGCCACGGCUAACUACGUG